rnacentral:rRNA from 1 species
AUGGCGCUCCACGCCGUCUCCCCUGCGGCGGCGGCCUCCCCGCCCUGCGCCCUCUCCUCUGCCCGUCUGCCCCAGCGCCCAGGUUGUGGUUGUCUCUCAAACCGUUCAUCCCUGUUAAGUUCGUCCACAAACUUCAUGAAAUUUCAUUCUGGAGCAGUGGGUUUCUUUGGUGUGCCUUUGGUUCUUCAACACUCGGACAAGAGAGCAGUUUUGAGGCAUGCCACUAAUGAAGAAAUUGAGGAAGAAAAGAUGAUCGUUGAAGAACAAGCUAAAGAAAAGAUGGAGAAGGCCAUUGAAACAGUUCAAUCGAACUUCAAUACCGUCAGGACUGGGCGGGCAAACCCGUCUAUGCUCGACAGGAUUGAGGUUGAGUACUAUGGAACUCCUGUAAACUUGAAGACUAUUGCACAGAUAAAUACCCCAGAUGCGACUUCUCUUCUUAUCCAACCAUAUGACAAGUCUUGCCUCAAGCUCAUUGAGAAAGCUAUAGUUGCUGCAAAUAUUGGGGUAACACCAAGCAAUGAUGGAGAAGUGAUACGAGUCACUGUCCCACCAUUGACAUCUGACCGCAGAAAGGAAAUGACAAAAACCGUAGCCAAGUUAUCUGAAGAAGGCAAGGUUGCUAUCAGAAACAUAAGACGAGAUGCAAUCAAAGCCUACGAUAAGCUAGAGAAGGAAAAGAAACUUUCUGAAGAUAAUGUGAAGGAUUUAUCAGCCGAUCUACAAAAAAUCACAGACGAGUACAUGAAAAAGGUUGAAGCCAUCCAAAAGCAGAAGGAACAGGAGCUGAGCAAGGUUUAG